rnacentral:rRNA from 1 species
AACAUACCGAAAGGUAUGCUAAUACGAGAUAAUAUACUUUUAUUGCAUGGUAGAAGUAUCAAAGCUCCGGCGGUACAGGAUGGACCCGCGUCUGAUUAGCUAGUUGGUAAGGUAACGGCUUACCAAGGCGACGAUCAGUAGCCGACCUGAGAGGGUGAUCGGCCACAUUGGAACUGAGACACGGUCCAAACUCCUACGGGAGGCAGCAGUGGGGAAUAUUGCACAGGGGGCGAAAGCCUGAUGCAGCAACGCCGC